rnacentral:rRNA from 1 species
GAUGAACGCUAGCGGCAGGCUUAACACAUGCAAGUCGAGGGGUAUAGUAGCAAUACCAGAGACCGGCAAACGGGUGCGGAACACGUACAGAACCUACCCUGAUCUGGGGCAUAGCCCGAAGAAAUUCGGAUUAACUCCCCAUAAUAUAGAUGAGUGGCAUCACUUGACUAUUAAAAAUUUAUUGGAUCAGGAUGGCUGUG